AGGGGGAUAGCUGGGUCAAAUGGUGAUUCCAUUCCCAGUUUUCCAAAGAAUAUUCAUAUUACUUUCCAGAUUGGCUUCAACAAUUUGCAGUCCCUUCAGCAAU
rnacentral:pre_miRNA from 1 species